CAACCUUAACCAGAUGACUGGAAACAUCACUCCUUGAACUCUGGCAGGUUUGGUGCCAUGACCACUUCCCUGGUCACCAGAGAGAGAACAGCACCUCACUCUCCACUGGCACCCUUGAGCCUUCAGGUUAGACUGUGACAAGAGAACCCUUCGGCCUUCUCUCCUCCAAGAUGAAGAAGGCAAGUGACCUCAGCUGCUCCUUGUAAGCCUUGAUCUGGAUACCUUUUAUCAGCUUGGACAUCCUUCUCAGUAGGAUGAACAAGAUCAGAGUCAGCUGCCCUGUCAACAUUAUGUUUUCCCGAUGCCACUACCACAACAUCAUCUCAGGGUCUCAGAAGCUGAGUGAAAUGAAAACAGUGGCCCAGCCCCAGCCUGCUCUUAUAAUCCUGUGCUUGAUCUUAACUGAAUUUAAAAGACUCAUGGCAAUAACAAAAGGAAGAGGCACUACUUCCCCCCCAUUCUCUGUGAUGAGGGGGAGAGAAAUCAUUUUCCCUAAAGAUAAUUUAGAUGUGCAUUACGCUGAUGCAAUGCUGAAACUACCGUAUUUCCUUGUGCUGGAGGUGCAGGAUGUGAUGAUAACAGUGCUUAACUUCCAAAGUUAAAAAAUGUGCAUCUCUGCAGGUGAUAAAUGCCUGUGUGCCUGUCUGGUCAUAUGACUGGUUUCUGCUUGCUUCCUGGAGAGCUGUGACUCAGAGCUGGGAGGGACAGGGAAAUAGUGGAUCUCUGGGGAAGAAAUGCACUUUUUAGGCAGGAGCUCCAGCCUAACCAAAGGAAGAACAUGGCAGGUGAGGGAACAGCAGCCAUAGAGAGCUCAGAGAAGGAGACCAUCCUGUUGAUUUCAAAAAUAUGACAGCAAGGGUCAUGCACUUUCUCUGAGGCUGAUAUUGGAAUUGAGUCAAGGGAUGAUGCCAGCAGAAGCCCUUUGAUCAGAAUCCUUGUGCAAAAAGACUCAGCCAGGUCCAAUAACACAGAGGUAUAUAUUUCACUCACUCUGAUUCUGUUAGCAGUGUGCAAUGCUAGAAGUGUCUUCAUUUCUGCUCUGGUCCCAUAACUACCCAGUAAACAAUGAGUACAAGAUGCACAGACAAUAAACAGGCACUUGAAAGAGUUGUCCAAAAUGUACCCAGAGCAGGGAUCAUGACUGCUGAAACCCCCACACAGCCUGGAACAUGAGUGUCUGUGGCUUGCACUGGCUCUACAAUUUUGAGUUUUCAAAAAAAAAAACAAUUUUGGGGAGCACUGAUGGCAGGAGGAAUGUUCUAGGGCAGGAUUACUUUGCUCGAUUGCUUCACAUUGAUUCAAAACAUUUGGCAUGAAACACAGUGAAUCACUAAGCUUGUUUCUGUGUAAGAAUUACACUGACAUGAUUAUGCCUGAUGGUUCUUGAUGCUAUUUUUCCUUUGUAAAAAAGUCUCCUCCCCAUAUCAAAUACAAAGAGACCAAAUCCAUGGUGCACCAAAUGCAAUGAAAGUGAGGACUGGAGAGCGAUGUCUUAAGAAUGAGGAAAGGUUUUUUCAGCAGUGGAGUCUGUUCCCUCAGGAAAAUCCUGUGUUGCAACACAGGUUUAUCUCUUUCUCCAGAUGCUUCUCAGCACAAAACACAACCUGUCCCUAGUGUGCACAGCAUUUGCUUAACUGAGCGCAAACUAUUCCAAAGGUGUAGUUAAAAUCUGAGGGAGAGGAAAUGUGGUUCAAAGCCUGAAGCUAGGAGAAUUAAAGUUCAUAUUCUUUGGUGCUACAAAGAAAGGGGAAUUCUUGGUGGGAACAAUCUACAGGUUUCCAUAAAACAGGAUAAUUUCCUCUUGAAACCUCAGUAAUUCAA